GAUUAACGCUGGCGGCGUGCAUAACACAUGCAAGUCGAACGAUGAAACUUUAAUGAACCCUUCGGGGAGAAUUAAAGCGGAUUAGUGGCGAACGGGUGAGUAACGCGUGAGUAACCUGCCUUACACAAGGGGAUAGCCUUUGGAAACGAAGAAUAAUACCCUAUAAAACCAUAAAAGCACAAGCAAUUAUGGUCAAAGUGAUAGCGGUGUAAGAUGGACUUGCGUCUGAUUAGCUAGUUGGUGAGAUAAAAGCCCACCAAGGCAACGAUCAGUAGCCGGCGUGAGAGAGUGUACGGUCACAUUGGGACUGAGACACGGCCCAGACUCCUACGGGAGGCAGCAGUGGGGACUUUUGCACAAUGGGCGAAACCCUGCUGCAGCGACGCCGCGUGAUUUAGCAGGCCUUCGGGUUGUAAAAAUCCUUUGUAUAGGAAGAAAAUGACAGUACUAUACGAAUAAGCUCCGGCUAAUUACGUG
rnacentral:rRNA from 1 species